GUAGGAUGCAAGCGUUAUCCGGGAAUUAUUGGGGCGUAAAGCGUCCGCAGGCGGUCUAUUAAGUUGGGAUGUUAAAGCUCUGAGCUCAACUCAGACACGGUAUCUGAUACUGGUAGACUAGAGACAGGUAGAGGCGAGUGGAAUUCUGCAUGUAGGGGUAAUAUCCGUAGAUAUGCAGAGGAACACCAAAAGCGAAGGCAGCUCGCUGGACCUGUUCUGACGCUCAUGGACGAAAGCGUGGGGAGCGAACGGGAUUAGAUACCCCGGUAGUCCACGCCGUAAACGAUGAGUACUAGGUGUUGGAGGUCUCGACCCCUUCAGUGCCGACGCUAACGCAUUAAGUACUCCGCCUGGGUAGUACGGUCGCAAGACUA
rnacentral:rRNA from 1 species